GACGAACGCUGGCGGCGUGCUUAACACAUGCAAGUCGAACGGAAAGGCCCUGCUUUUGUGGGAUGCUCGAGUGGCGAACGGGUGAGUAACACGUGAGUAACCUGCCCUUUACUUUGGGAUACCUUCAGGAAACUGGGGCUAAUACCGCAUAUGAGCUCCUGCUGCAUGGGGGUGGUGGGUAAGUUUCGGCGGUUGGGGAUUCACUCGUGGUGUAUCAGCGUGUUGGUGGGGUAGUGGCUUACCAGGUCUAGGACGGGUUGCCGACUGGGGGGGGUGACCGGCCACGUUGGGACGGGGAGAGGGGCCAAACUGCUACGGGAGGCGGCAGUAGGGAAGCUGCGGCAACGGGCGAGAGUCUGACAGAGCAACGCCGCGGGAGUGAACAAGGGUUUCGGAUCGUAAAACGCGGUUGGUAGAGAAGAACGUUGGUGAGAGUGGAAAGCUCAUAAAGUGACGGUAACUACCCAGAAAGGGACGGCUAACUACGUG
rnacentral:rRNA from 1 species